GUUCCCUUAGCUCAGUUGGUUCCGCAAGGCUAGAGAGCAUCGGACUUUUAAUCCGAGGGUCAUGGGUUCGAGUCCCAUAGGGAACACCA
rnacentral:tRNA from 1 species